GCGGCACUUCGCGAAGUGGCACUUCGGGGCUGCCGGCCCGCCGGGUCGCGGCCUGGCGCUGCGGGGAGGGGACCGGAGCGGCUUGGACGCCGGACGCCGCGGGCGGGGCUUACAGGAUUCUUUUGGUUGCACAUGACAGAAAGCCAACUCAAACUGGCCCUGACAAAUGAGGACAUUUACCCGAAGGCAGGAACGUCUCCACUGACCCUGACCCCUUCCUCCGGGCCAGCUGGGUGCUGUGCACGCCACACCUGCGGACCUCACACUGGCCCUAGGACUGACAUCCACUGGCCUGAACUGGGUCUGGGCCAGCAGGGAGCAGGUGGGGGCACAGCAGCCCUCUCGCCCAAAGGAAAGUUGAAUGGCUGGAACGAAGAUGACAGACGGAGGCCGGCAGGCAAACACGGGCGGUCUCCUCGCUCCAAGAGGGGAGUGAACCUGGGAACUUUUCUUCUCCAGGCCUCGCCGCUCCCACCAGCCGCAACGCAGGACAGGGAGGCCCCUCCAGAAAAGCUCCCAUGGUCCUGGGUCCCACCCCACCUUCUAGAAUCUCCAAAGGUUAUUUCCUGACCCGCCUACAUGUGAUUGCACUUCUCCAUCCAAGGGGACACUCACAUUUGAUGACCGACUCAGAGCCCAGGCUGCUUUCCAGGUGGCCAGUGGCUCAGCGGUCUCGGUGCCUGGGUCUGCUCCCUCCGCCUGGCGGCUGGGCAGGAGGCUGAAUGGCAGGAUGGAGGCCGUCCCUGAGAAGAGGGUUAUCAGAACACCUGCCGCAUAUGGAGAUGACCAGCUUGGCACCCGAGGAGACGCCCGUGGCUGACGGCAGGCACAGAGCUGGACGUGGGGAAGUCCUCGUACCUAGGAAUGGAGAACAAGGCCAAGAAACUUGGCGCCCGCCUGGCAUCUGCUCUGUACCACCAGCUUCCAGGAAGGUCUCUACCAAGGCUGUGCCCAUGUACUCCGUGCUCGCCUUCACCAGCGUCCUGUGAGGCCUUUCUGACUGAUGUGGAAGCCUUUCUAAAGGGCAUAGGUGUCUGGGGUCUGGGGGGCUGAGUACCAAGGUUCCUGGGGAUAGACAGGCCAGGUUUAUGGGCUGGGCAUCCGGAGAUCGCCGUGAUGCCAGCUCCAGGUGGAGCUAGGAGGCCACUCUUGUCCCGACGCAUUUUAUUUUGGAGACAUUCACAGACCACCCCUUGCUCCUGCUUCCCUUGACUGUUGAGAGCGUGGUGGGGUACACACUGCACAACCCCACUGCUUGCCUGAAGGCUGAGCAGCGUGGCCAGAAAUUGCAGCCCAGACCUGGGAUCUCACCCACGCCUCUACAAAACGGCCCGAAGGAAACCAGUGUCUUGGCAGAGAGGCUUUGCCCUGCCGCCUCCUCCCAGGAAGAAAGAGCAGAAGAGGUGUCGCCAGCCACCGAGACAGCCAGCCACCACCUCCUCCCAGACCCUCCGUCCGCACCCCAGACCAGGGUCAGCUUCCUGCACUGGCGGUGGGGUGGGGUGGAGGUGGGAGCAGGCUUCUGUAAUGAGCAGCUCAUGGGGGUCACUGAGGAGGAGGCAGGCGGAGCCCGUACACUGCAGGCCUCCUCGUGAGCGUCAGCCCUUGUCUGGGCAGCCGGGGGAUCUUUCGCACCCCAGCUCUGAGCCGGGGGUCUGCAGCCCGGGUGCCAGUGAUGGGCCCUCAUGCACACAGGGUGCUGAGCAGGGCCAGGGCAAGAGUGACUUCAGACAAGAACCCGACCCCACAGCUGGUGAUGCCGACCGUGGUCAGCCGCACUGUGGGCCGCUGGGGAGCAGAGGGCUGGAGGCAGUGAGAGCGUGUAGCCUUCAUCAGCUUAUUUUUAGUCGCGUUAUGUAAGUGGCUUCAUCUCAACGUCACAUGGGGGGGGUCUCAGAUUUAAUUACAGGAUGACAGCCUUUGCUUUUCAAGCAAGCUGUUCUCCUGGCAAGGCAGGCGAAGGAUUGGGGAGUUCUGCUCAACAGAAGGAGCCCUUUCCGAGGUGACCACCCAGCAAAACUUGAACCCGCUUUCACCUCCUUCUCCCUCUUCCUGACCAGCCUCAGCUGAGCGCAGCCUGAGAGUAGCCACCUGUCGGCAAUCCUGGGGACAUUUUAUGCCUGUCAAGGGAGCCUCCCCUCUCCCCUUCCUCUCCCUUCCCACCCUCUGCCUGGCAGCUUUGCCUUCUCUCCAAGAGAAGGGUCCGCCCAAUCAGAACUCCUCUUCCCUCUUUUCAUUCCUGGAUUAAAGCACUUGUAAUCAGUAA